GUACACGCUGUGACUAGCAUAUCAAUAAGCGGAGGAAAAGAAACUAACAAGGAUUCCCUCAGUAACGGCGAGUGAAGCGGGAAGAGCUCAAAUUUGAAAUCUUGAAAGGUCACCUUUCACGAAUUGUAGUUUAAAGAAGUGUUUUCUGUUACGAUCGUAAUAUAAGUUCUUUGGAAUAGGACAUCACAGAGGGUGAGAAUCCCGUCUAUGGUUGCGAUUUGUAGCUUUGUGAUACACUUUCAAAGAGUCGGGUUGUUUGGGAAUGCAGCCCAAAACGGGAGGUAAAUUUCUUCUAAGGCUAAAUAUUGGCGAGAGACCGAUAGCGAACAAGUACCGUGAGGGAAAGAUGAAAAGAACUUUGAAAAGAGAGUUAAAUAGUACGUGAAAUUGUCAAAAGGGAAGCGUUUAACACCAGUGUUGUUUUCUGAAAAUCAACCUCUGUUAGCUUUAUGCAUGUUUUGUUUAGACCUAAUCAGCUAUCUUUCAUGUUCUAUUGUUUGCAGUGGUGCACUUUUCAGUUUACAGGUCAACAUCAGUUUUUUUUUACCGUAAAAAAGUUAAAGAAAGGUAGCUCAUGGCUCCGGUCGUGAGUGUUAUAGUCUUUUUCCCUAUGCGGUAGGAGAGACUGAGGUCUGCAGUGUAGGCUAUUUGGCUAGAUACUCAGGUGCUAUGUGAUACCAUUUCAUAAACAACUUGUUGAUUGUGUUUUGUCUAUUGCAUACUCGCUUGUACUAUCAUACCUACGCUUAGGAUGUUGAGUAGCGACAUACGCAC
rnacentral:rRNA from 1 species